CAUAACGACUCUCGGCAACGGAUAUCUCGGCUCUCGCAUCGAUGAAGAACGCAGCAAAAUGCGAUACCUGGUGUGAAUUGCAGAAUCCCGCGAACCAUCGAGUUUUUGAACGCAAGUUGCGCCCGAGGCCUUCUGGCCGAGGGCACGUCUGCCUGGGCGUCACGCC
rnacentral:rRNA from 1 species